GCGGCGCUGCCGGGCCUGCCUGUGCGGAGCGCACCGCUGUGGUAUUGCGGCGUAGGUGUCGUGACCCUCGCCAAACCUGGAUAUGACAUUCAUUGUUGGAUUGACAGAUCGGGAUAGCGUAGUUUGAAAGUGAGCUCGGGAGGUGUCUGUUAACCCCCCUGCUCGAAAGAGGGUCAGCCACGAGGUCAGAAAGGGUGGCUUUUCACGGUCGGUUUGUUCGGUUGGCAGGGGCUUUUCCUUCCCUUCAGCGAGGCACACUUGCCCACGUUCACAGAAUCAUAGAAUGUAAAAGAGUUGGAAUAAAGGCCCUUAACGAUCAUCUAACCCCAAUUCCUCUGCUGUGUGAAGAAACGUGUUUCCUGGGCUGUUGGGGUGCACUCCGGCUCCAAGACACACAUCAGGCAGACAAACCCAUGGGAGAAAAGGGUGUUCCCUGGUGGCAGGGAGCUUUUAUACCCCCUGGGAUGGGGACAGAGGGAGAGGUCAAUGGGCCAAUGGGACACCAGUGAGGAGUGGUGAGGGGAGGGGUAACCCAGGGGAGAGACCACCAGGGGGUACCGGGACAGGUGAGGGAAAGGCCAUGUGAUGGGGAAAUGGGGUAACAAACCACAUGAUAUAACAUAAGCUAUACAGUGCAAUACAAAACUAUUCUGUGUAAAUUCCCAAUCACCCAGUGCAAGAGAACAACUAAACUGGUGCACCACAACAGCCGUGAACACGGACCCCUCCCACGAGACCAGGUUGCCCAAGGAUCCCUUCACAUACUGGAAAGUUGCUGUGAGGUUUCCACCUGACUGACUCAGCUUGUCUUUGUAGGGGAGGUGCUCCAGUCCUGUUGUAUUUCAUACAGUUGCUGUCAGCCCCUUUGCUCCAGCCCUGCCCUUGAGCAUGUUCACUGUUCCCCCCAGUUUGGUGCCCUAGGAACGUUUGAUAGCAACCUCCUCCACAUUACUCAUAAACAUGUUAAACUGGACACAUUCCAGAACGCAUCCUUGCUGUGUUCCAUUUGUAACUGCCAUGUGACUGGAGUAUGACCCCCUGGCUUCUAUGCUCUGAGCUCAAUUGUUUAACCAGUUUUUACUGACCUACUAGUGCACCUGUCCAGACUGCAAUGUUCUAGUUUUGCACACUUGCAAAAAUACUGCCUUUGCAGUGCCAGGGUUAUGGUGACAGACCAGACCAGACACAAGACAGAGUAGAAGAAGAAAGUGGAGAAUGUACUGCUGAAAGACCAGGGAAGAUGCACAACGUGAAAUCCUUUUCCAUGGAAGCUAAUACUCAACAUCAUCUCUGUAAAUAACAGCUGUAGAAUAGGCAAAGCUUUACCACUUAAGUGAAGCUUAUGCACUGCAAACAACUAAAGACAAUUGAAUUUAAAAUGGAAAUGAGCUCUACUGUAUCAGUAUGCUGCCAGGCCCACCCCCCACUCAUCGAUGAGGGCAAAAGGGAGAUCUUUUAUGUCCCCGGCCUGAGAAAGUGCAGCUCCUCACUCUAAAAUUCAACUGGUUCCUUAAGAACCUGGCAAAAAAAGUCCAGUAGUGUGUCAAGACACCUGCUUUCCCAAAGCCUGUUUCCACAAAGGCAAUUAAAUCCAAGUUUUACUGUUUA